rnacentral:lncRNA from 1 species
GACAAAAGAUAAAAGUUGAGGGAAUUUACAUCGAAGGACUCCCAAAUCCUAAGUCCUACAUGUCUGUCCAGAAGCAUACUGUUGUUGCUUGGUUGGCAUCACGAAACAGCUCUUAAUAGACUGAUCUGGGCAUGGCAUGCACUAAUCAUCAACAAGAGCUUCAGAUUCACUGACCCAUAAUUGACCGCCACAGACCAUGAGAGCUGCAUAUUAGUAAAAUUAGCAUUAAUGUCCGUGCAUUGCUACUUGUCUUUACCUACUCUAAGAUCAUUGCGCUGGUGAGCUGCCUCUGCCUCUAGAGAGAAAAGAUGCUUUCUAGGGUUUGUCUUCCUCACCUCCAUGACCAUUAUUUAUUGUGAACCCGUUGGCAACGGGCGAAGACAUCCUCGGAGCAACAAAAUUCUUAUACAUACACUGAAUUGUCUCAUCAACACCCCCAAGUUUCUAUAGUCUCAAACACUCGCAUACUGCUCCGUCCUAGCUUGAUGCCAUGCCAUGUACUCGAUCCAUUGAUACCAACACAUCCACAC